AUACGUAGGGAGCAAGCGUUGUCCGGAAUUACUGGGCGUAAAGGGUGCGUAGGUGGCUAUAUAAGUCAGAUGUGAAAGACCGGGGCUUAACCCCGGGGUUGCAUUUGAAACUGUGUAGCUUGAGUACAGGAGAGGGAAGUGGAAUUCCUAGUGUAGCGGUGAAAUGCGUAGAUAUUAGGAGGAACACCAGUGGCGAAGGCGACUUUCUGGACUGUAACUGACACUGAGGCACGAAAGCGUGGGGAGC
rnacentral:rRNA from 1 species